GAUGAAGAACGUAGCGAAAUGCGAUAAGUAGUGUGAAUUGCAGAAUUCAGUGAAUCAUCGAAUCUUUGAACGCACAUUGCGCCCGCCAGUAUUCUGGCGGGCAUGCCUGUUCGAGCGUCAUUUCAACCCUCAGGCCCCCAGUGCCUGGUGUUGGGGAUCGGCCCAGCCUUCUCGCAAGGCCGCCGGCCCCGAAAUCUAGUGGCGGUCUCGCUGUAGUCCUCCUCUGCGUAGUAGCACAACCUCGCAGUUGGAACGCGGCGGUGGCCAUGCCGUUAAACACCCCACUUCUGAAAGUUGACCUCGGAUCAGGUAGGAAUACCCGCUGAACUUAAGCAUAUCAAUAAGCGGAGGA
rnacentral:misc_RNA from 1 species